rnacentral:rRNA from 1 species
CAGUCGCCACGGGAAUACGUAGGGUGCGAGCGUUAAUCGGAAUUACUGGGCGUAAAGCGUGCGCAGGCGGUGCUGCAAGACCGAUGUGAAAGCCCCGGGCUUAACCUGGGAACUGCAUUGGUGACUGCAGCGCUGGAGUAUGGCAGAGGGGGGUGGAAUUCCACGUGUAGCAGUGAAAUGCGUAGAGAUGUGGAGGAACACCGAUGGCGAAGGCAGCCCCCUGGGACAAUACUGACGCUCAUGCACGAAAGCGUGGGGAGCAAACAGGAUUAGAUACCCCCGUAGUCCCUGUCUCUUAUAC